GCCCGGCGGGCUCAGUUGGUAGAGCAUGGGACUCUUGAUCUCGGGGUCAUGAGUUCGAGCCCCACGGUGGGCC
rnacentral:tRNA from 1 species